AGGCUCGUCCGCUCAGGGUUAGUCGGGACCUAAGCCGAGGCCGAAAGGCGUAGGCGAUGGACAACAGGUUGAUAUUCCUGUACCACCUCCUCACCAUUUGAGCAAUGGGGGACGCAGGAGGAUAGGGUAAGCGCGGUAUUGGAUAUCCGCGUCCAAGCAGUUAGGCUGGGAAAUAGGCAAAUCCGUUUCCCGUAAGGCUGAGCUGUGAUGGCGAGCGAAAUAUA
rnacentral:rRNA from 1 species